AGUUAGAACUUUCAAUGCAGAAAUUCAGUGCCAUGCAGUCACCCGGAUAAAGCAGCACUUACCUUAAUUGAAAUUUUCUCUGUGAACGAGCCUAAUGGAUGAACUACAACUAUGAUUAUAAUUUGCAAGGAGAUUAGCUGCCGUGCUAGCCAUCGCAGGACUUAAACAAAUGUGCUUUCUCCUGCUGUUUUUCAAGGUGCCUUCGUGUAAGAUAUUAGGUACAGUGAAACAAUUAAUAGACUGAUAGAGCUGACUUGUAAGACAAGCUUAAAGCUGAAAAAUGUUUAAAGCGAUGUGAUCAAAGAGAUAGCUGCACUUGUCCCUGACGCUCGCCUGCUACAUACUUCAACCUUUGUCGAAGUAAAAUGAAUUUAAAGGUUUAUUACAGCCCUCCAGAGUGCAACUCUCUGAAUUUAUAAAAAGGAAGUAUUCAUACUAAAUAAGCAUAUUUGGCAGAUUGCUACAGACACAAGCACUCAAACCACGGCAUGAACACAGCCUUGCUUGUGUAGUUUUCCAAACGGCAUUUUCAAUUAGCAUUAAACUUGCAAAAAAUGUUUGCAUUGUACCAUUAACCAGAGUAACGUAGGAGAAUACAGCACUACACCUAACCGAA